AUGAACGCUGGCGGCGUGCCUAAUACAUGCAAGUCGAGCGAACGGACGAGAAGCUUGCUUCUCUGAUGUUAGCGGCGGACGGGUGAGUAACACGUGGAUAACCUACCUAUAAGCCUGGGAUAACUUCGGGAAACCGGAGCUAAUACCGGAUAAUAUUUUGAACCGCAUGGUUCAAAAGUGAAAGACGGUCUUGCUGUCACUUAUAGAUGGAUCCGCGCUGCAUUAGCUAGUUGGUAAGGUAACGGCUUACCAAGGCAACGAUGCAUAGCCGACCUGAGAGGGUGAUCGGCCACACUGGAACUGAGACACGGUCCAGACUCCUACGGGAGGCAGCAGUAGGGAAUCUUCCGCAAAGGGCGAAAGCCUGACGGAGCAACGCCGCGUGAGUGAUGAAGGUCUUCGGAUCGUAAAACUCUGUUAUUAGGGAAGAACAUAUGUGUAAGUAACUGUGCACAUCUUGACGGUACCUAAUCAGAAAGCCACGGCUAACUACGUG
rnacentral:rRNA from 1 species